CCUACGGGAGGCAGCAGUGGGGAAUUUUGGACAAUGGGCGAAAGCCUGAUCCAGCAAUGCCGCGUGAGUGAAGAAGGCCUUCGGGUUGUAAAGCUCUUUUGUCAGGGAAGAAACGGUAUGGGCUAAUAUCCCGUGCUAAUGACGGUACCUGAAGAAUAAGCACCGGCUAACUACGUGCCAGCAGCCGCGGUAAUACGUAGGGUGCAAGCGUUAAUCGGAAUUACUGGGCGUAAAGCGUGCGCAGGCGGUUUUGUAAGUUUGUCGUGAAAUCCCCGGGCUCAACCUGGGAAUGGCGAUGAAGACUGCAAGGCUAGAAUCUGGCAGAGGGGGGUAGAAUUCCACGUGUAGCAGUGAAAUGCGUAGAGAUGUGGAGGAACACCGAUGGCGAAGGCAGCCCCCUGGGUCAAGAUUGACGCUCAUGCACGAAAGCGUGGGGAGCAAACAGGAUUAGAUACCCUGGUAGUCCACGCCCUAAACGAUGUCUACUAGUUGUCGGGUUUUAAUUAACUUGGUAACGCAGCUAACGCGUGAAGUAGACCGCCUGGGGAGUACGGUCGCAAGAUUAAAACUUAAAUGAAUUGACGG
rnacentral:rRNA from 1 species